rnacentral:lncRNA from 12 species
AUCGGGGUCCCCGCCCCUCCAUGUUCCCCAUUUCUGCCCUCUCUGUCCCCCCCAUCUCGCCGCCCCGACCUUUNCGGGGAGUACUGGGGGGUCCCCCGAGAUCCUCCGUACCCCUCUGACCCCCGCUCCUUACAGCCGGGGGGCCGGAUGAGCUCGCUGGAAAAUUCUCUGUGGGCAGCGUCAUGUACGGGCUGUGCCGGGUCCCCGAUCCUGGUUCCGGCACCCCCAGAAUCGUCCUUAUCAGCUGGGUAGGGGAAAAGGUGCCGGAACCGCAGCGGGCAGCGUGUGCCGGGCACCUGCCGGCCAUCCGGAGCUUCUUCAGGCUUCCUGUGAUCUGUCUGGGCCCGGGGUCUGGAUCCGGCCCCGCAUCUGGAUCCAGUCCCACAUCUGACACGUGGGAACCGUGCCCGAGCUUC